GAAACGUCAGUUCUCUCUAUCAUCAAUGACAGCGCAGCUCAGGCCUGUUGCGCCUUUGUCAAGGGUCCAGGUGGAUCGAUUUCUUUGCAAGGGUGCAUAUAAAGGCAUGAUGCCCUAUUCCAGCUCUCAGCUGACGAGAAGGUGCGUGGAAAGGCAUGAAAAUAAUUGUACUCAAAAAUAUAAAUUGGUUAAAUCAGCAUGAAGAAGCUUUUGCAGAGAUCCAAGGUGCUGCAGCCAGAGAUUGCCGUAAUGUUAUUUAGCAUCUACAAGCAAGAAGAGACACCCAACACGUGACCCGUUGGUUCUCUACCAGCCACAGUUUGAGAAUGACCGAAUUACACCUUUGUUCCAACCCAUUUGUUCUUUCUCGUGUGCUUAUGCCCACGCACAGAGGCAGGCUCUCCUUCAAAGGACAGGGAAGGAAAUACUGGAGUGAAAACAAGAUAAGUGCUUUGCUGCAUGUGGAUGGCUUUAAGCAUGAGCUUAAUGUUACGUACAUGUUUACAGAUGGGAUUUUCAAACUAGCCCAAACAAGAUGCUUCCCAAAUUCCAUUGAAGUUGGGCCUCUAACUCCUUUAGAAAUCCCAACCAAAAGCCUUCAUCCAGGACAGCACCUCUGUUCUGCACAGCACUUAAGCAUAUGCUGAA